AACCAGACUCCUACGGGAGGCAGCAGUGGGGAAUAUUGCGCAAUGGGCGAAACCCUGACGCAGCAACGCCGCGUGCGGGACGAAGGCCCUCGGGUUGUAAACCGCUUUCAGCAGGGAAGAUCCAAGACGGUACCUGCAGAAGGAGCUCCGGCUAACUACGUGCCAGCAGCCGCGGUAAUACGUAGGGGGCAAGCGUUAUCCGGAUUCACUGGGUGUAAAGGGAGCGUAGACGGCGACGCAAGUCUGGAGUGAAAGCCCGGGGCCCAACCCCGGGACUGCUCUGGAAACUGCGUCGCUGGAGUACGGGAGGGGCAGGCGGAAUUCCUGGUGUAGCGGUGAAAUGCGUAGAUAUCAGGAGGAACACCGGCGGCGAAGGCGGCCUGCUGGACCGUGACUGACGUUGAGACUCGAGAGCGUGGGGAGCAAACAGGAUUAGAUACCCCAGUAC
rnacentral:rRNA from 1 species